rnacentral:lncRNA from 1 species
GCACGGUGGUUCAUGCUUGUAAUCCCAGCACUUUGGGAGGCUGAGGCGGGUGGAUCACUUGAGCCCAGGAGUUCAAGACCAGCCUGGGCAAGAUAAUGAGACCCCAUCUCAAAAAAAAAGUUAUUAGAAAGUAAUCCAGGUAGGAAUGGUAAAGGCGGUGGCUGGUAAAGAUGAGGCAGGGCUGAUUUUAAGAGAUUUUGAGCCAGGCACAAUGGCUCACACCUGUAAUCCCAGCACUUUGGGAGCCUAGACAGGAGAGGAGGAUCAUUUGAGGUAAGGAGUUCGAGACCAGUCUGGGCAAUGUAGUGAGAUUGUCUCUAAUUUUUUUAAAAAAAAAUAGCUAGGCGUGCUGAGCACAGUGGCUCACACCUGUAAUCCCAGCACUUUGGGAGGCCGAGGUGGGUGGAUCACAAGGUCAGGAGUUCAAGACCAGCUUGGCCAAGAUGGUGAAACCCCAUCUCUAUUAAAAAUAGAAAACUUAGCCGGGUAUGGUGGCGGGCACCUGUAAUCCUAGCUACUUGGGACGCUGAAGCAGAGAACUGCUUGAACCCGGGAGGCGGAGGUUGCAGUGAGCCGAGAUCAUGCCAGGUAACAGUGUGAGACUCCGUCUCAA